GGCUUGCCACUGUUCCUGCAUGGCUAAGUGCCUGGGUUUGUCCUAAUCAAGCUGAACCCUAGUCACUGGGUUCCACGGUUCUCUUCCGUGACCCAUGGCUUCUAAUAGAGCUAUAACACUCACUGCAUGGCCCAAGAUUCCAUUUCUUGGAAUCCGUGAGGCUGAGAACCCCAGGUCACAGGACACGAGGCUUGCCACCAUCUUGGAAGCAGUCUGCCACCAUUUUGGAAGCGGUCCACCACCAUCUUGGGAGCUCUGGGAGCAAGGACCACCCGGUAACAAUAGGCCAACUACUAUACUGAUAAGCUUGAAAGGCUGCCCUGAAUCCUCAUCUAUUGAUGGAGAUGGUGUCAUCUUGCCUUGAUUGUAUCCAGAAGCUUCAUCCCCAAGAUAAAGGAUGGACACCUCUCAGAUGACCAGCUUCUUUUGCUCGACUCUAGAGAAGGUUGCUUUCUGCAUUCUGGCAACUGCUCUCUGUCUACAUGAUUAGACUAGUUGGUUGCAGUGCUUUCUGGAGCAAUGAAAGGAUCCAGUGCACAGGGCUUAACUUACUGGGCACAGUCUCUAAGCCACCUCCGCCUGAAUGGGUCCCCUGUUUUUUUUCUUCUGCUCUUGAACCAUAUCGCUGUUCCUUGUGCUCCAGGGAAUUUCUUGCUCUGGUCAUGAAAAAAAUGGAAACUCUCUCAAGGACUAACAAUCAGAGCUGUCUGGUUGACAAGGGACGUUAUGGUUGCAAGAACACCCUGAAGCAAGGAUUCUACAUCAAAGAUUCAGGGGCAAUCUGAGUUUGCAUUUAAGAUCCUUCUGCCU